CCCUUAGAUGUUCUGGGCCGCACGCGCGCUACACUGAUUCAUUCAUCAAGUCUAUAACCUUGGUAGAAAUGCUUGGGUAAUCUUUGAAACUGAAUCGUGCUGGGGAUUGGAGCUUGUAAUUAUUCUCCAUGAACGAGGAAUUCCUAGUAAACGCGAGUCAUCAGCUCGCAUUGAUUACGUCCCUGCCCUUUGUACACACCGCCCGUCGCACCUACCGAUUAAGUGAUCCGGUGAAUAAUUCGGACUGCAGCAGUGCUUGGUCCUCCGGGCUUUGCAGCGGAAAGUUUAGUGAACCUUAUCACUUAGAGGAAGGAGAAGUCGUAACA
rnacentral:rRNA from 1 species